UACGUAGGGGGCUAGCGUUGUCCGGAUUUAUUGGGCGUAAAGAGCGUGUAGGCGGCCAGGUAGGUCUGCUGUGAAAACUCGAGGCUCAACCUCGAGACGUCGGCGGAAACCAUCUGGCUAGAGUCCGGAAGAGGAGAGUGGAAUUCCUGGUGUAGCGGUGAAAUGCGCAGAUAUCUGGAGGAACACCGGUGGCGAAGGCGGCAUCCUGGACCGGCACUGACGCUGAGGAGAAAGCCAGGGGAGCAAACGGG
rnacentral:rRNA from 1 species